rnacentral:lncRNA from 1 species
UAGGGCUGUUAUCUGUUAUCUAGGUGUGAGGAAGGGGAUUUGGGUGGGAAAGGAGAGGGGAGUCGCUGAAUGGAAAGUGAGUGAGGAGGAAAGAGAUAAAGGAUGCUGAGGAGAAAGGCAGCAGGUUUGACCGAGAUUCCCAGCUGCCCAGUCUCUGAAUAUCAGAACUUAUUUACAUGCUGUCGGGAGAGGGGCAGAGAGCAGAACUUUCCAAAGCAUGAAGUUCAAGAGUCCGAAUAUCUGAUUCUACUCCUUUUCAAAACUGUGUCACCAAAUCCUGUUCAGUUCCUAAAGCCCCACCCUCGGAUUCCCAUGUGCCUGUCUUCAAACAUGCUCCUACUGUGUGCAACAUGAAAUCAACUGAAAAGUCUUCAGAAGGCAGAUAUUCAAAGAAACUUGCUACAGAGCACAGAAGUUGUAUAAUAGUGAUCCGAUUGAAGCAGAAUGUUGUGUAUAAGGAGUUGAAAGAACACUAAAAUUGGUGGCAACCUUGCCACUUGCAAGCUUCGUGAUUUAAGUCCUCAGGGCAACUCUGUGAGAUGGAAACUGAGUGAAGCUGAAGGAGGUGGAAAUUUGCUCCAGGGAAACAGCUCUCACGCGACAAAGGCGGAAGGCAAACCUAGGUCUCGCUGACUCCAAGUCUGUGUUCUUUCCAUCACUAGGGAAGAAGAGGCACAUGAAUGACUGAAACUAAAAACAAACGUUAAAACGCUAUCAAUUUUGCACAUAAUAGAAGGGAGAAAUUAUGAUCACUACAAUGCUGGGAAUGUACAUCUUAACAUAUUGCUCCUAAUUUCUUAUCAGCAGAUUUUAAAAAUGCAUCUAUCUAGGUUUGCUUUAAAAAUAGAUCAGUUAGAAGGCAAAAUUGUACGAGUGGAUAUUAUUAAUGAUACUGAAUUUCCAUGUAUGUGAACUAGCAUUGAGUGGCACUUUGAUAACACUCAUCUAAUCCUAUUUAGUGCCCUUUCUCUCUUUUGCUGUCAAAGCCUAGGUACGGGUUCGUGCUUUGUCUCAUAACCUCUUGGUUAAAAUGUAACA